UACGUAGGGGGCAAGCGUUGUUCGGAAUUACUGGGCGUAAAGGGCGCGUAGGCGGCGCAGCAAGUCGGGAGUGAAAGCCCGGGGCUCAACCCCGGAAUGGCUUUCGAAACUGCUGAGCUAGAGUACAGAAGGGGCAACCGGAAUUCCCAGUGUAGCGGUGAAAUGCGUAGAUAUUGGGAAGAACACCUGAGGCGAAGGCGGGUUGCUGGGACGUUACUGACACUGAGGCGCGAAAGCGUGGGGAGCGAACAGG
rnacentral:rRNA from 1 species